ACGGGAGGCAGCAGUGAGGAAUAUUGCCCAAUGGGGGAAACCCUGAAGCAGCAACGCCGCGUGGAGGAUCACGCAUUUCGGUGUGUAAACUCCUUUUAUGAGUCAAGAAAAUGACGGUAGCUCAUGAAUAAGCACCGGCUAACUCCGUGCCAGCAGCCGCGGUAAUACGGAGGGUGCAAGCGUUACUCGGAAUCACUGGGCGUAAAGGACGCGUAGGCGGGUUAUCAAGUCAGGUGUGAAAUCCUAUGGCUCAACCAUAGAACUGCACUUGAAACUGGUAACCUAGAGUAUGGGAGGGGCAGAUGGAAUUAGUAGUGUAGGGGUAAAAUCCGUAGAUAUUACUAGGAAUACCGAAGGCGAAGGCGAUCUGCUGGAACAUUACUGACGCUAAGGCGUGAAAGCGUGGGGAGCAAAAGGGGAUUAGAUACCCCGGUAGUCCACGCCCUAA
rnacentral:rRNA from 1 species